UAUCUGUCGUUUUAGACUUGAGUAGGUUUUCUGAUUUUAAUGAGAAAAUUUACAUGUAUAUGGUAAUUUUUAGUAAGAUUACAAAUUUGUAAUUGUUUUUUUACUGUCCAUAAGAAGCAUAACGUCUGUGUUUCACAUGAUAGAAAAAUAGCCAGCAAUGCUUAAAGAAAUUCUGUGAAACCAUCCAUUUAUGUUACAUUUGUAUAUCCCAAUGAAAGAUUUGUCCCUGGUAAUAAAAUAAAUAAUACAAAGAUUUUAUAACCAUUAUUUAAAUUUAUUAUGAGUCUCUGUCAUGGUCGUCUUACCAGAACUUGACUGUAUCUAAAACUUUUGUUAACAUAUUAUUAGUUAUAGACUGGAAUUCAAACAUUUGCAGAAGAGGAUCACUUUGUCACCAUAAUGCAGUAACAGAUUAAACUCCUUUUACAUUUAAUAGGAGUUAAACUGUUACUGCACUAAUAAGAUGAUUUGAAAAAUAUUAAAAGGAUGCACCACUGGUAUAUUUGUUAUGAUGAUUUUGUUAUAAAUUGAUUGUAUUUAAAUUAUAGCUAUUAUACAUACUAUAUUCUGUUAUAUGAUAUACUAAUUUAUAAAAUAUGACUCUGUUAGAAUAAGAAUUAAUCAUAUUAUUGAAAAUAGUUUUACUCAAAUAUUCAUUCAUUUUUAAGGCAUGUUAUUUCAUUAUUUACAUUGUAUAACUUGUUGGUAUUCAGACAGUCAUUUAUUUAAGUAAAAAAAUGUGUGACUAAAACAGACAUAAAUAUUAGGAAAUGUGUCAUUGAAGAAUUUAUUUAACUGCAUGUGUUGCUUGAACAUUCAUUUAGAUAAAAUGUGGUACAGGAACAGUCAUUCAUUCAAGUAAAUUUGGUACAUGAACAAAAAUUUAUUUAAGGGAACUUGUUACUUAAAUGGUCCUUCAAUUAAGGAUACAUGUUCUUUAGCAGUAUAAACGUAAGGAAGCAGAAACUAAAUCAUUUAAGGAAACAUGUUAUUAAAACAGUUUUUCAUUUAAGGAAAAGUGUGACUUGAAAAGUUUUUCACUUAAGGAAAAUGUUACUAGAAAAGUCAUUCAUUUAAGGAAAAGUGUUACUAGAAAAGUUUUUUUUCAUUUAAGGAAAAGUGUUACUAGAAAAGUCAUUGAUUUAAGGAAAAGUGUUACUAGAAAAGUCAUUGAUUCAAGGAAAAGUGUUACUAGAAAAGUCAUUCUUUUAAGGAAUCAUGUUACUAGAAAAGUCAUUCGUGUUACUAGAAAAGUCAUCUGUAUAAGGUGUUACUAGAAAAGUCAUUCAUUUAAGGAAUCAUGUUAUUAAGGAAAUGUAUUUUCAAGAUAAGGUUGUGUUCAGUAUAUAAAAAUAGUGUUACACUUUUGAGUGCUUGUUUUAGUUAUUUUAUAAAUAGCCCAUGUCACCAUUAUAGUCAGGCCAGCUUGCUCAUCCAUAUAGUCUUAUAAUGUCAAUAUUGUUAAAAGGACUCCACUGAGGUCCAAAAGUCUAAAAAGUAAAAAAAAAUAAAAUUCUUUCAUAGAUCAACUGGGAAACUCAAAAGUGGAAAAAUAAGCAAAAGAUAAUAUAAUAAUAUAGUUAGAAUUUAACUGAAAAUGGAUUUUUUUUUGUACCAUUCUUAGCUCUAUAUAGAUUUGAGUUGAAAGUGUUUAAAGGCUUUUCACUUUUAUAUGCCCGAAAGAAUAUCGGGCAUAUUAUGUUAUACCCCCUGGUGUCUGUCCGUCUGUUCGUCCGUGCUAUUUAAGAGAAGUAGGCCAUCUUACUGUAAAGAGAACAAAAGAGAACAAUAGAGUUCAUUCCAUAACAAUAGAAUAAGAGGCCAUGGACUUCUAUUUAAAAAAAGAAAAUAACAAAAGAAAUGGCCCCUUAGUCCAUUUAAGUGGCACGUCCAUUGAGUAAGUCUGUCUGUCUGUCUGUUCGUCUGUUAGCAAUUUGGUUUCAGGAGCAGAACUUAAGUUCCAUUUGGCCAACAAUACUCAAAUUUCAUAGGAUGAUUGUCCUUAUUGGGUAGAAGACCCCUCUUGAUUUUGGGGUCACUAGGUCUAAGGUCAAGGUCACUAUUAAAUUAAAACAGUUUCCGGAGCAUUACUUAAGUUCCAUUUGGCCCAUAGUGUUCAAACGUCAUAGGAUGAUUGUCAAUAUUGGGUAGAAAACCCCUGUCAAUAUUGGGUAGAAAACCCCUAUUGAUACUUUAUUAGAUUCCCAUGUCUUACAAAUGCUUCAUCCUUACUAAAAAAAACACCUUCGGGCGUAUAAUGCUCUGCCUAGCAGUGCUCUUGUUGGAUUAUUUUACAAAAUAAAAAAUGCUGUUAUUUUGAAAAAUACGGAGUAAGUGAAUGAUCUGAAAUUUUGCAGACUUGUUUUUUGGUCCAAACCUACAUCUUACUUUACACAAAUAAAAGAAUAAAAUUCAGUCCCGCAAUGUGAAGAAAUCUCAGUGGAGUCCCUUUAAUGAUCAUAGAUGUAUAAACAUGUCACCAUAGAGUAAGAACAGUUAAUCUACCUAAUUUAGUGAUAUAAUGUUUUUGACAUACUGUUGAGAAGGGAUGGACAUUUUAAUGCUUAUAAACGGGUCCUUAAAAACAUUUCUUUUUCUCAAAUAUGUAUAUUUAUCUUCUUAUAUACACGUAUAAUGUAUUGGUAUACAUGUAUAUUUGGAUACUAUAUCUGUAUAAUAAGAAAUAAUUAUGUAAAUGAACUAGGAAGGAAGUUUUUCACUAUAAUAGUGAGCGAAAUUUUUUAGUUUAAAAAAUGUAUGAAUGUUGUAUAAACGACAAUAAAUUUCAGUAAAUUAUUAUUACAUUAGUAAGAGCAAUAUAAACAAGGUAUAUUCUGUUUAUAAACAAACUACAUGUACGUUUUGAGGUCAGACAUUUGUGUAAUUGUUGGUAAUUGCGAGUAAUAGUGUGAUUUCAAGUUGACAAAACUCAUUUAGAGCCAAAACAAAAAAAAUAAGAUAUUGUAAGGUCAUUAUGUCAAAGUCACUCAUAAUUCAUGACUAUGGUAUCUAACAUUUGAAAUUUAUUCCAGUAAAUCUGCCCUGCAGUCAUAAAGGAUCUUAUUAUAACCCUAAACAUGCUGAAACCAAAAAAGAAAAAAAAAAGAGAUACCACACGGCAAUUUUGUUUUGGAAACAUGUAUGUAUUCAUUCAUGUAUUUUUCUGUGAAAACUAUUGUAGAUUACAAACUCAUAAUUUCUACUUUUUGUGGUUAAUUUUAGGAUAUUUUCAAAUUUUCAUGCUUUCUGAUUGGUUGAACAUUUUUUGACCAAUCACAAGAAUGUUUAUUUUUAGAUUUUUUAGUGGAGAAGAUAUAAAGUGCCACUGGGCACAUAAGUAUGAUAUAUGUUUUAUUGAUAUUCAAGGUAAUUAAACCUAUAUACAGCAUUUUGUUGUAAUAAAUCUAAAUGUUUUGUAUUUAUUACUAAGAAGUGUAAAUGUGUACUAUAUUUAGAUUAUAUGACUUUGUUGUGUGUAUAUAUUGGAUUAUUGUGAGUUAUUAUUGUCUAAUGUAUAUUAUUAAAAGUUUAUUACUAUUAAAAUCUCCUGGAUAUAAU